rfam:Triticum aestivum genome assembly, contig: Triticum_aestivum_CS42_TGACv1_scaffold_578216_7BL
CUGGUACUCCCUCCGUUCGGAAUUACUUGUCGUAGAAAUGGAUGUAUCUAGACAUUUUUUAAUUCUAGAUACAUCCACUUCCACGACAAGUAAUUUGGAAUGGAGGGAGUAGCUU